rnacentral:rRNA from 1 species
CUUGACUGUAGCUUGGAAUUGGGUUCGGGCUCUUCUUGCGCAGCCUAGGUGGGAGGCGUUGAAAGCUUUCUUUUGGGGAAGCUGGAGCCAUCAGUGAGAGACCACUCCGGAGGAGCUAGAAUUCUAAUGGCGUUCCUUGAAGCAGGACGCUUGACAGUUUCAGGUGGGCAGUUUGACUGGGGCGGUCACCUCCUAAAAGGUAACGGAGGUGUGCAGAGGUUCCCUCAGGCUGGACGGAAAUCAGCCGUAGAGUGUAAAGGCAGAAGGGAGCUUGACUGCAAGACCUACAAGUCGAGCAGGGGCGAAAGCCGGCCUUAGUGAUCCGACGGUUCCAUGUGGAAGGGCCGUCGCUCAACGGAUAAAAGUUA